ACAUUGUUGCUUAGUCAGUAAAGCAUUACGCUAGCAACGAAAAGGUCAUGUGUUCAAACCCCAAGCAAAGCA